rnacentral:sRNA from 2 species
AUUCUGCCCAAGCGGGGAAGGAUGAGAAGCUUCGACCAAGGUUCGACUUGAGCGCCAGCGAGAGAGCGUUGCCGCAGGCAACGACCCGAAGGGCG